rnacentral:tRNA from 1 species
GGGGAUGUGGCUCAGUGGUAGAGCAUUUGCCUAGCAUGCAAAAGGCCUCAGAUUCAAUCCCCA